GGUCAAUGAUGUGAUGGCAUGUAUUAGCUGAAUCCGAAGUUGAUGUGUAUCAUCAAGCUCUAGAAUUACGCUGAGACCUU
ensembl:snoRNA small nucleolar RNA SNORD45